GAGACUGAUAACUGACUCGACUUACAGCAACCAGUUUAUCACGCUGGUGUUGUUUUUGAUAUUAAUAUUUUAUGGUUCUGUGUAUAAACCUUUAAGCAAAUUCAUUCAAACAAACCAAAGAAAUCUGCUAAAUUAAUAUACUCUCCAUAUUUGUAUCUGAGGUUCUUAGUGAAGUGUUUUUUUUUAAUUAGGGUUAAACUCAAUCUGUAAAUGCGAUGUUUCCUUUUGGAUAUGUAUUGGUUACUAUAAUAAUUAUUCUUGGAGCAGUUUUAAUAAAACAUGGUACCAAAGAACAACCAAAAAAGAUUUUUAACGUGUAUGCCCAGAAAGGAAAAUGGUAUUAUCUUAAAUAUAUCAUAAUAAGUUUAGUGAUAUUUAUAAGAAGAAUAAAAUACUAUGUAUAUCGCAAA
rnacentral:lncRNA from 1 species